rnacentral:rRNA from 1 species
AGUCGAACGGCAGCGGGGGCUUCGGCCUGCCGGCGAGUGGCGAACGGGUGAGUAAUGCAUCGGAACGUGCCCAGUCAUGGGGGAUAACUACGCGAAAGCGUAGCUAAUACCGCAUACGCCCUGAGGGGGAAAGCGGGGGAUCGCAAGACCUCGCGUGAUUGGAGCGGCCGAUGUCGGAUUAGCUAGUUGGUGGGGUAAAGGCCUACCAAGGCGACGAUCCGUAGCGGGUCUGAGAGGAUGAUCCGCCACACUGGGACUGAGACACGGCCCAGACUCUUACGGGAGGCAGCAGUGGGGAAUAUUGGACAAUGGGCGCAAGCCUGAUCCAGCCAUGCCGCGUGAGUGAUGAAGGCCUUAGGGUUGUAAAGCUCUUUCACCGAUGAAGAUAAUGACGGUAGUCGGAGAAGAAGCCCCGGCUAACUUCGUGCCAGCAGCCGCGGUAAUACGAAGGGGGCUAGCGUUGUUCGGAAUUACUGGGCGUAAAGCGCAUGUAGGCGGACAUUUAAGUCAGGGGUGAAAUCCCGGGGCUCAACCUCGGAACUGCCUUUGAUACUGGGUGUCUAGAGUGUGGAAGAGGUAAGUGGAAUUCCGAGUGUAGA